rnacentral:rRNA from 1 species
CCUACGGGGAGCAGCAGUGAGGAAUAUUGGUCAAUGGACGAGAGUCUGAACCAGCCAAGUAGCGUGAAGGAUGACUGCCCUAUGGGUUGUAAACUUCGUUUAUAUGGGAAUAAAAUGUUCCACGUGUGGGAUUUUGUAUGUACCAUAUGAAUAAGGAUCGGCUAACUCCGUGCCAGCAGCCGCGGUAAUACGGAGGAUCCGAGCGUUAUCCGGAUUUAUUGGGUUUAAAGGGAGCGUAGGUGGAUUGUUAAGUCAGUUGUGAAAGUUUGCGGCUCAACCGUAAAAUUGCAGUUGAAACUGGCAGUCUUGAGUACAGUAGAGGUGGGCGGAAUUCGUGGUGUAGCGGUGAAAUGCUUAGAUAUCACGAAGAACUCCGAUUGCGAAGGCAGUUCACUGGACUGCAACUGACACUGAGGCUCGAAAGUGUGGGUAUCAAACAGGAUUAGAUACCCGAGUAGUC